rnacentral:rRNA from 1 species
UACAGAGGUCCCAAGCGUUGUUCGGAUUCACUGGGCGUAAAGGGUGCGUAGGCGGUCGGGUAAGUCUGAUGUGAAAUCUCACAGCUUAACUGUGAAACUGCAUUGGAUACUAUCCGGCUCGAGGAAUGGAGGGGAGACUGGAAUACUUGGUGUAGCAGUGAAAUGCGUAGAUAUCAAGUGGAACACCAGUGGCGAAGGCGGCUCACUGGCCCGAUACUGACGCUGAGGCACGAAAGCGUGGGGAGCAAACAGG